rnacentral:rRNA from 1 species
UACGGGGGGAGCAAGCGUUGAUCGGAUUUACUGGGCGUAAAGCGUGUGUAGGUGGUUGUGCAAGUCGGUUGUGAAAUCCCCGGGCUCAACCUGGGAACUGCUUCCGAGACUGUACGACUAGAGAUCGGUAGAGGGCGGUGGAAUUUCCGGUGUAGCGGUGAAAUGCGUAGAUAUCGGAAGGAACACCAAUGGCGAAGGCAGCCGCCUGGGCCUGAUCUGACACUGAGACACGAAAGCGUGGGGAUCAAACAGG